rnacentral:rRNA from 1 species
CGGGUCUGAGUUGUAAUUUGAAGAGGAUGCCUCGGUGCGGGCCCCGAUCGAAGUUCCUUGGAACAGGACGUCAUAGAGGGUGAGAAUCCCGUCUGUGGUCGGUGGCCCCUACCGUGUGAGGCUCCUUCGACGAGUCGAGUUGUUUGGGAAUGCAGCUCUAAAUGGGAGGUAAAUUUCUUCCAAGGCUAAAUAUCAGCCAGAGACCGAUAGCGCACAAGUAGAGUGAUCGAAAGGUGAAAAGCACUUUGAAAAGAGGGUUAAAAAGCACGUGAAAUUGUUGAAAGGGAAGCGCUUGCCACCAGAGUUGUCCGGGGGGUUCAGCCGACCUUCUGGCUCGGUGUACUUCCCCCCAGGCAGGCCCGCAUCAGUUCGGCCGGCCGGAUAAAGGCCGCGGGAAUGUAGCACCCUCGGGUGUGUUAUAGCCCGCGGUGCAAUACGGCCUGGCUGGACUGAGGUCCGCGCUUCGGCAAGGAUGCGGGCGUAAUGGUGGUCAGCGGCCCGUCUUGAAACACGGACCAAGGAGUCUAACAUCUGUGCGAGUGUUCGGGUGUCAAACCCGUGAGCGUAAUGAAAGUGAACGGAGGUGGGAGCCCUCGGGCGCACCAUCGACCGAUCCUGAUGUCCUCGGAUGGAUUUGAGUAUGAGCAUAGCUGUUGGGACCCGAAAGAUGGUGAACUAUGCGUGAAUAGGGUGAAGCCAGAGGAAACUCUGGUGGAGGCUUGCAAGGGUUCUGACGUGCAAAUCGAUCGUCAAAUUUGCGCAUAGGGGCGAAAGACUAAUCGAACCGUCUAGUAGCUGGUUCCUGCCGAAGUUUCCCUCAGGAUAGCAGUAACGACUUGAGUUUUAUGAGGUAAAGCGAAUGAUUAGAGGCCUGGGGGCUGUAUCAGCCUUCACCUAUUCUCAAACUUUAAAUAUGUAAGAAGCCCUUGUUGCUUAGUUGAACGUGGGCACUCGAAUCGAACGUUACUAGUGGGCCAUUUUUGGUAAGCAGAACUGGCGAUGCGGGAUGAACCGAACGCGAGGAUACGGUGCCAGAGUGCACGCUCAUCAGACACCACAAAAGGUGUUAGUUCAUCUAGACAGCAGGACGGUGGCCAUGGAAGUCGGAACCCGCUAAGGAGUGUGUAACAACUCACCUGCCGAAUGAACUAGCCCUGAAAAUGGAUGGCGCUUAAGCGUGUCACCUAUCCCUCGCCGCCCGGGCAGGA